UAAUCUAAGUGAAACUUUCAAGCGCACUACACGGGAACAUGACAAUUUUUUGAUAUAACAUUAUAUAGGGCUCUGAUGUCUCGUAUUCUCUAUAGCUUUGUCACAACGUGAAAAUGGUCAAAGUGGAUACUUUUCGCUUUUUUAGGCACAUAUGCGUAAUUAUCUCGUUUAAUAAAUCAUCAACCACCUUGAAACUAGACAGUUCGUAAGACGGGACCGAGACGCAUCUUUAGACACCAAAAUUUCUGAAAUCCGUUGCUCCGUUGCUUUUAAAAGUUUACUGAACCGCAACUAAAAACCCAAAUAAGCGAGUUACCUGUAACUAUGGUGUCGUUGCCUCGACCGGGCUGUGCUGUGUUGCCAAUUGUUGGAGGAUAGGUUACUUGCCCGGAUGUGGCUACCGCCACUCAUGAUAAUCUCGUAAAAUUCGAAGCAACCCUCAGUCCUGACUCGGCAUAUUUUUAAUAUUUUUCUGGCAUCGUCUGUUUUUUAUUUAAUGUUUCAGAUUCUUUCUAGAAAAUGAAAAUUUCAUCUUAGUCAGGGCUUGAGUGGGGUGAGUAUUUCUCAUGACAAAAAAAAAUAGGAUGCUAAAGAGGGGAGGGGAAGAAAGAUGCGACGCUCCCUCAUCAGAAAAUUAUUCGAAAAGCGCGCGUUUCCGACGGUUUUGUCAUGUGCUGCCCUCUGGUUAACGAGUUCAUCCCUUGCUGGUUUAUUGUUUUGGUUCUCAAUACAAAAUAAAUACAGCUGUUUCGGUAUUUAUAGUUUUUCGUAGGUUUACGACCUAUUAAUUUAGAUUCGCAGUGAUUCCCUUUAGAACAUUAUUUCUGAGAGUUAAAGCUACAUAACAUAAUCCUUUAGUGGCUAUCCUAACACCUUCUCGUGUUUUUUAAUACCCGAAUCGUCUGACCGCCAUUGAAGUUCGGUUGUUUUUAUCAGUGAAUUCUGCAGUUUGACUUGCCGUUUCAUUUUCAGCAAUCGCAGUUUAAUUUUGAUUAACAAUUUUAUCGUAUUUUAAUAGUAGCGGAUCGCGCUUUGUAUAGAACUCAUACUCCCGCAGGCAACCGUUCUCCUGUUUCUACUUUUGUUUUUACUGAGUGGCAGUUUCGCACCUUCGAUUUCAAUACCGACCUCAUGACACAGUUUCGUUGUUGAUCUGGAUGGAUAGCUCCAAAUGAGAGAUACUUGAAUCAGGUAAGUUUUCUACGGUAUCUAAAUCCAACCUGCUAAUCUCAUAAUCCUAGUUGUGGUCUCCAAGCCCAACCAGCAACUUGCACCCUGAAAUAGUGUUUGUAAGUAUUUGUAACCUCACUUCAGCCUUUCAUGGUUAUAGUUAUGUCAAAGGCUUUCACUCUCUAAGACUCCGUACUUGCUUACCCCUGAC
rnacentral:lncRNA from 1 species